rnacentral:rRNA from 1 species
GACGAACGCUGGCGGCGUGCCUAACACAUGCAAGUCGAGCGGAGAAUAUACAAAGCUUGCUUUCUACAUUCUUAGCGGCGGACGGGUGAGUAACGCGUGAGAAACUUGCCCUAUAGAGGGGGAUAACACACCGAAAGAUGUGCUAAUACCGCAUUACCAUACAUUAUCGCAUCAUAGCGUAUUCAAAGGAGUAAUCCACUAUAGGAUGGUCUCGAGUCUGAUUAGCUAGGUGGCGAGGUAAUGGCUCACCAAGGCGACGAUCAGUAGCCGAACUGAGAGGUUGAUCUGCGACAUUGGGACUGAGACACGGCCCAGACUCCUACGGGGGGAAGCAGUGGGGAAUAUUGCGCAAUGGGGGAAACCCUGACGCAGCAACUCCGCGUGAAGGAUGAAGGUUUUCGGAUCGUAAACUUCUUUGAGCAGGAAUGAAUAAUGACAGUACCUGAAAAACAAGCCACGGCUAACUACGUGCCAGCAGCAGCCGCCGUAA